rnacentral:rRNA from 1 species
AAUCAACGCUGGCGGCGUGCCUAACACAUGCAAGUCGCACGAGAAAGGGGCUUCGGCCCUGAGUAAAGUGGCGCACGGGUGAGUAACACGUGAAUUAUCUACCUCCGAGUGGGGAAUAACCUAGAGAAAUCUGGGCUAAUACCGCAUAACACUUACGAGUCAAAGCAGCAAUGCGCUUGGAGAGGAGUUCGCGGCAGAUUAGUUAGUUGGCGGGGUAAUGGCCCACCAAGACGAUGAUCUGUAUCCGGCCUGAGAGGGCGCACGGACACACUGGAACUGAAACACGGUCCAGACUCCUACGGGAGGCAGCAGUGGGGAAUUUUGCGCAAUGGGGGAAACCCUGACGCAGCAACGCCGCGUGGAGGAUGAAGUAUCUCGGUACGUAAACUCCUUUCGAUGGGGAAGAUGAUGACGGUACCCAUAGAAGAAGCCCCGGCUAACUUCGUGCCAGCAGCCGCGGUAAUACGAGGGGGGCAAGCGUUGUUCGGAUUUAUUGGGCGUAAAGGGUGCGUAGGCGGUUUGGCAAGUCUUGUGUGAAAUCUAUGGGCUCAACCCAUAGCCUGCACGAGAAACUACCG